UACGAAGGUCCCAAGCGUUAUCCGGAUUUAUUGGGUUUAAAGGGUGCGUAGGAGGGCAGGUAAGUCAGUGGUGAAAUCCCCGAGCUUAACUUGGGAACUGCCGUUGAUACUAUCUGUCUUGAAUACCGUGGAGGUGAGCGGAAUAUGUCAUGUAGCGGUGAAAUGCUUAGAUAUGACAUAGAACACCAAUUGCGAAGGCAGCUCGCUACACGAAUAUUGACUCUGAGGCACGAAAGCGUGGGGAUCAAACAGG
rnacentral:rRNA from 1 species